GCCAGCUAACCCACAAGACGUGCGCGACGGGACGCAGGGAAACCACCAGGGCAUGCGUGACGCAGUCGUGCCUGCGCCGGGCCCUGGGGGAGCGUGUGGUCUGCGGGGUCUUCAGCAGCCAGCGGGGCGCAGCAGAUGGGUAGAUAAAAAUGGCAGAGAUUUCCAAGACCACUUAGCUGGAGAGGUCUGCUGAAAGGGUUGAAAGCCUUAAAGAUUGGUUUGGGCUCAUUUUAAUGACCCAGGAAGAGGAAAAAGAAAAGACUGUACUCGUGCCUGCACCGGAGACCCUAAUGAGCGUCACCUCCCUGGACCCGGGGUCACCACUUCUGUCAUCACCACUGUGAAACCAACCAUCAGUUCGUCCUCCACAUCUUUGCUUCAGUUCCCACGUGUUCAACAUUUCAGGGGAACAGUCAACCAUCAGUGGCUCAAAGACCCUGCCAUCUGGAAGCAGAUCAUACAGACCUCCAACCUUGCCAGCUACAGAAUGUUCUAGAAGAGCAAUACUGUUCAGAUUACUGUGCACAGUACAACAGCCCCCACGGGGAGACCAAUGUUCUUCUGAGAUGCUUCUGGCUGCAAGAAAAGAAGACCCAACCAAGCAUCUUAAGUAGCUCAAAAAGGCAUGAAGUCUUCAACUCAAAGAGCUGGACCCCGGGAUUGGAUGAGAAACUCAAAAAGGAUAAUCUCCACACAUCCUCAGGGGUGCAGAAGGGAUGCCCAGGCUUUGGUCCUCACAGAAGCUAAACACACUGAGAAAAGGGUGGUCUUGACUGAGAUGUCUGGAGUCACUUGCAACCCAUAAUGGGGACCCAUAAGGCUUGGUGGCCAGUUGUUUCCUGAAGAGCAACCACAUUCACCUCACUUUUCUCAACCCUAUCGAACCGUUCCCAAGAGAAGACAUUCUGAGAUAUGAAGCACACCGAUCAACUCUGCAAAUAACUUCUCUCACAUGGUGCUAAACGUGUCAGCUUCUUAAUCCACAAAAGUCAACUUGCUGACAGCAUCCACCUUCCAAAGCAGACAUGGUAAUGUUAGCCUAAGCACAGCGACAGAGCAGAACCACCCAGGUCGGAUUAGCUGACUUUCCUUCCCCAUUCCACUGCUCCAUUUACCUCGACUCAACUGUCUCUUAUGCUUUAGUCAAUGCUGGAACAAAACUUCUAGAACUUUUUCCAUCAGGCAGAGAUGCCAAGUACUCCCACAUGAGAUCAUCCGAUCCCUAUCUUACCGGCAUUCAUGUCUUUAAAUUUCUGCUUGAGCUCGGUAGGAGUGAAACGGUACUGGUCGAGACCAUCAUUCCAAUAAAUCCGGUCCAAGACUUGAAGAUCCCCCCCAAUAAGCCAGUCUCCUUGCUCCAUAACCAUCUACAGGGAAGAAAAAGGAAAUUAUUUUUUUGAAAGUAUAAAUUCAAUUUAAAAAAACUUUUUGCCCCUCAAGUUUUAUUGAUAUGCCAGUCGCUUAUAUAACUAUAUAACCUCGGGGCACAACUCCACACCUGCACACAUGUCACUCACCCUCCACCAGCACUCCAGAGUCAGGCUCUGUCACCUCCCUGCCCACCCUUCAAGGGAGCUUGAGACCUGGGUGCGAUGGAUCUUAUGUUCUCACGGGGGACACCCGAGAAACCAGAGAACACUCAGCUGCUGAGGAAUGUCAUACGGAAAAAAGCAGGGUGGUGGACAUAGUGUCUGGGACACACGAGAGGGUAUUUCAGAAAAAUGAGUCAGGCGGGGCCGCUCAGAGGAGAGUGACAUUGACCCUGAAUGGAUGAAAGGGAACAGGUCACGCAGGGACAGCACCUCAGGUGGAGGGAGAGCAAAAACAAAGCUCUGGGGCAGAAACCAGCUUUUGUCUCGCAGAGGGCAGAAGGAGAGCAAGAAGGUCAGGGCCUUAAGAGCCAGGCAGACACAUGGGUGGGUUAUUUUAAUCACACUAAGGGUGGCGUGAUGUCCUCAGAUUUUUGUUUCUACAAGAUCCUCUUCUGGCAACUGUGGGAGUGGACUAUGACUCCACCCCGGCUUGAGAACAGGAGGGCUGGUAAGCAGGUGGGAGUGGAAGGGCCUGGGAUGCUGCAGACUCCACCGAAGCUGCCGGAAGCACACAGCGGAAUAUUAUUCAGUCAGAAAGAUGGCUUCCGUCAUUUGUGACAACACGGGUGGGGCUGGAGGGGAUUACGCUAAGAAGUCCGAGGAGAAACACAAGCAUGAUUUCACUCAUUCGUGGCAUUUAAGGGGGAAAAAAACAAAACAAACAGACAAAACAAUGUGCACACUGCCCCACAUGGCAGCACCAGCCCCUGGCCCUCUGCGGACACUUAAAAUACAUUUGCGCUGCUUAAAUGGUGGGCCUGGCGUGACACUACACAUCUGACAAGGUGUGAACCUGCACCCUUAAAACACACAGCAUUGUCCCCAAUGU